CAAUAGCGUAUAUUUAAGUUGUUGCAGUUAAAGAGCUCGUAGUUGGAUUUCGGAUGGGAUUUGCCGGUCCGUCGUUACGAUGUGCACUGGCCAGUCCUAUCUUGUUGUCGGGGACUAGCUCCUUGGAUUCACUUCCUGGGACUAGGAGCUGACGAGGUUACUUUGAGUAAAUUAGAGUGUUCAAAGCAAGCCUACGCUCUGAAUACAUUAGCAUGGAAUAACACGAUAGGACUCUGGCUUAUCUUGUUGGUCUGUGAGACCAGAGUAAUGAUUAAGAGGGACAGUCGGGGACAUUCGUAUUUCAUUGUCAGAGGUGAAAUUCUUGGAUUUAUGAAAGACGAACUUCUGCGAAAGCAUUUGUCAAGGAUGUUUUCAUUAA
rnacentral:rRNA from 1 species